CGAGCGAACAGAUGAGAAGCUUGCUUCUCUGAUGUUAGCGGCGGACGGGUGAGUAACACGUGGGUAACCUACCUAUAAGACUGGGAUAACUCCGGGAAACCGGGGCUAAUACCGGAUAAUAUUUUGAACCGCAUGGUUCAAUAGUGAAAGACGGUUUCGGCUGUCACUUAUAGAUGGACCCGCGCCGUAUUAGCUAGUUGGUAAGGUAACGGCUUACCAAGGCGACGAUACGUAGCCGACCUGAGAGGGUGAUCGGCCACACUGGAACUGAGACACGGUCCAGACUCCUACGGGAGGCAGCAGUAGGGAAUCUUCCGCAAUGGGCGAAAGCCUGACGGAGCAACGCCGCGUGAGUGAUGAAGGUCUUCGGAUCGUAAAACUCUGUUGUUAGGGAAGAACAAAUUUGUUAGUAACUGAACAAGUCUUGACGGUACCUAACCAGAAAGCCACGGCUAACUACGUGCCAGCAGCCGCGGUAAUACGUAGGUGGCAAGCGUUAUCCGGAAUUAUUGGGCGUAAAGCGCGCGUAGGCGGUUUCUUAAGUCUGAUGUGAAAGCCCACGGCUCAACCGUGGAGGGUCAUUGGAAACUGGGAAACUUGAGUGCAGAAGAGGAGAGUGGAAUUCCAUGUGUAGCGGUGAAAUGCGCAGAGAUAUGGAGGAACACCAGUGGCGAAAGCGGCUCUCUGGUCUGUAACUGACGCUGAUGUGCGAAAGCGUGGGGAUCAAACAGGAUUAGAUACCCUGGUAGUCCACGCCGUAAACGAUGAGUGCUAAGUGUUAGGGGUUUCCGCCCCCUUUAGUGCUGCAGCUAACGCAUUAAGCACUCCGCCUGGG
rnacentral:rRNA from 1 species